CGCUCUCUAUUCUGGCUCCAACGGUAUAUGGGUUAGGGCCAGUUCUAGCAAUACCGUUUCUCACCCACGCACCCGCGCCCGCGCCCGCUUCUUUUCCCUUGCUCAAAGAGGAACGCGUACUCUCGUAUAGAAGCGAACGUAUUCGCGCUCCGUCUAGAGCGACGCGAGUGCUCGUGUGUUUUUAAGAGCUCGUGAAACGAUCGCCAAUGCAAUUAUUCUCUGGAGUGUCGAAUUGACACCAUGGGACAACGUUUACGAUUUGUUUAAGCGAAUCGCGAAAGGUGUACAGAGAUUUUCAUCGCACUUGAUACUUGACGAAUUAUAGAAACACUCCGCAACGCCACUAUUACCUGUUCUUUCAGUAAAACAGAAAGGUAUUCUGCUCGUGUUGCAAAUAGCGAAGCCAAGGUCUCCGAUGUAAGUUAAAAGUGAAGCAUAAAUCCACUUCUUAAAUGGAACAUAGGGAUCCUCGAACGAUCCUCCUCUAAACGAAGCUAGGUAAAUUGGAGGCGACACGAUUCGAGAGAAAGGAGUCGGUGGAAACGCAUUAAAAUCUGAUUCCGCCAGUAGGGGAGGACCCUUUGAACAGGGAGAGAAGGUUCCUAUUAUCUUCCCCUCCGUCCGUUGCUCCCUCGGAUGGAUCGAAAAAGUAUCUGGCCCAGAGUUAAAAGGGGAGUCUCGUAGAUCGGCAUCGCGGUUCACUGCUGCGAGCACGAUGUGGGUGUGACCUGGUUUCCGAGAGUUUCACUUUCCUGUAACAUCGUUGCACGGAGGAGGGGGAACGUCGCGAGCUGCGCGAUUCGUCAGAAGCGUUCACCGUGCUUGAUCGUUGAGUCACAAAAACGGAAAGCCGGAUACAAACGUUAGAGCGUUCCAACCGUUUGAUCCUUCGCCGAGCCCUUGGUAUUUCUCUAUGACUCCUCGUUCACGCAAAAACUGCUAAGUCCGCGCGAAUCAAGUUUUCCAUAACGUUCUCGAUUUGAAUCUCGAUUCGAAUACGAAACACGAAACGCUCAGCUGCUUUGGAAUGGAGCAUAGAGUUGAUCGAUUUACGCGGAUUCCACGGCGAACAAUGGCAACAUUAACGAAUUCAUAACGCGUGCGAUGCGUAAUGCACGCGCUCGCGUGUCGACGUUCAUGUACGCGCCUGCGCCUAUCUUCGCCACGAUCCACGAGCGUGUGGCGGCAUAUAUAAAAGAGCGUUCUAGCGUGCGACCUAUAUUCCACGCCUGCAUUGCUAUAUUAGACGCGUGCGACGCAUCAGGGACACGCCUGAAAGCGUCUUCCUCUCCUGACCUGAUGCCAAUCAAACACCAGUUCACUGAAUAAUUCGGCGGUUUCUACUGUCAGCUCGUGGCACGCCUCACGCUCAUCCUUUGUUGGAGACAACGGAACAGGUCUUUCGGUUGCAGCGCCGCGUACGCGAUGACAUGACUUAGAUUUUUUAAUCAAGAGAAUUAAAAGAGCAGCAGAAGGUAAGAAAGUACAAUGACAUUUAAUAUUUCCCGCUUUCUCAUAUUUAUUAACGUGUAUCGCUGAAGAAACGUAAUAAAAAGCUGUAAUGGGUAUUUCAUAUUGAGUGAUAAAAGCCGUCGAAAAAAGUAUAAUAAAAAGCAGUAAGAUACCUCGAUAAGCUCGAGAUACCGAUGCACCAGCGCGACUCUGAAUAGCAGCCAGACUCGUCUAAUGAUUCGUCUGUCGGUGGAACGCAUACAUAAAAAUGUGUGUGUGCGUGUACGUUUACGCACCCACGCGGCCACGAGGAAGUCAAGAAUUUAUUUUUAUCGUGGUUCUUCCGUACGACCGAACGUUACGGUUUCUCGAUCGAUGGACCCGCACCGCAGAGACGACACCGUCUCCUCGGAGUGUAAAUUACAAUUUGACG